GUGCGGGGCGGCCGGGCCGAGGGCGGGGUGGCCAGGCGGGGACGAGGAUGUGCCCUCCCGACAGCUGCGCCACACCCUGCCCCGCGGCGUCUCGCGGGCCGGCCCUAGAUAGUCAUUCCUCCCGAAUUAAAGCUGCCCGGGAUGCCGGACUCCUCGAACCGUUCUGACACAGCAGUUUCCGAGCAGCCCGUCUGGGCGCGGGUUAGAGGAAGGAGAGAAGAAGCUACAAUAGCCCCCUAGAAGAAGAAGUUUCAAAAAAGGUUUUAUCUCAGCUCUGAGAUGGCCCCUGAACCUGUGUGGAACUGAGUGGGACUCUCUGAGUGCAACCCAUGAUGGAAUACACAACACAUGUGACUAAGGCUGGAAGAUUCCAGAUGCUUCAGCACUUGACUGGCUCUGCCAGGAACAAAGUCAUUCCCGUUGACUCAAGUGGUGGGCAUUUUAUUUUAAGAAUGAAUGUGCAAAAGAGGAAACAUGAAUCUCAUCUACCAGUAGGCCAGGCAUCAUGUCAGUCCUAUGAGAAGUCCUCAAAAAGAGCUGGAACUGUUGUAGAUUUGGGCCUCCCAGGCAUGAGAAGCAAACCAAACCAAACAAACGAAAAGAUCAGAAGCAAAUGCACUAUCAGUGUGGGACUCUUCAUUCUAUACUUUAUUAACGUGUGUAACCCAGCUACAUCUGAAUUUCAAAGAUAAGAAGAUAAUCAUAUGGACAUCCAGGAAGAAGAAUCAAGCCACCCAAAAGGGAAACAAAGGUCAAGUUCAGGUAGCUCCAGAUUCCUCCAUUGCAGUAUUCAACAAAGACAGAGGAGUGAGGUUUAUACCAUUGCUACUCAGAAAUGUGGUCCAUGAUCCUGCAGCAUUGGCAUCACUUGGGAGCUUAUUAGAAAUGCUGAAUCUCAGUUGUCAUUCCAUAUCUACUGAAGCAGAAUCUCCAUUUGACCAGAUUUUCAGGUGAUUCCUAUGCAUUUUAAAGUUCUGAGGGAACUAAAAUGUGAUGCAAUUUUAAAAACUUAUCUCAGGAAUCCCUAGUAUGGAGACAACAAAUUAACAUUUUCAAAUCUGAAAGAACUGAAGCAGUGCUUCGCAACCCAGGCUGCUUCUUUGAAACUUGCUUGCAACUUUCUUUGGUCUUUUAAUUUUUUUUUUUUCUGAGAGAGCCUGUUUAUGUAAUUUCUUUGAGACUGGAGAUAUUUAUCUGUCUGCAAAUUAGACCUACAUGAGGAGUUUAUUAAUAUUAUUUUUUAAAUACUGUUGCAUGGGUCAUACCCUCAGAGAACCUGAUUGAAUUGGUCUGAGACGAUGGCCAGAAGUCAGUAGUUUUUCAGAAGCUCCCAAAGUCCUUAGAGUAUGCAGCCAGUUUGAGAAUCAUUGAAUCAAGGGAAACCAAAUCCAUGAACCCUUCUUGGAAAAAUUACUGAAAGAUGGACUUGAGACAACACAGAAAUGAAUCGAAAUAAAGACCUCAGGAGCAAAGAAGCUGCGGUGAGAGCUGCCGAGGCCUCUGUAGAUUGCAGCCAUCACCAAGCUCUCAAAACUUCCUUGGGAUGCCUGCCAGCAUUAUGAGACCAGGUAACACAGUGUCUCAAGAUGAACUCAGUGGAAUGAACUUUGGCAGAGAUCUAAGAAGAGAUUUUCUUUAGGGUAACAAUGACUUUGGUGCUAUUUGGACACUAUCUAACAGCAAAACGCCUUAUACCUAAACAGUGGAAAUGCUGAGCAAAAGUGCUUCAGCUGUUUUUGUUUCACUUCCUGAUUCAUGCACAUUCAACCAACUAUCUUUGGUUUACUGAUGGG
ensembl:lncRNA